rnacentral:rRNA from 1 species
AUACGUAGGUGGCGAGCGUUAUCCGGAAUUACUGGGCGUAAAGGGCACGCAGGCGGCCAUUCAAGUCUGACGUGAAAGCUCCCGGCUUAACUGGGAGAGGUCGUUGGAGACUGAGUGGCUUGAGGCGAUGAGAGGGGUGCGGAAUUCCCGGUGUAGUGGUGGAAUGCGUAGAUAUCGGGAGGAACACCAGUGGCGAAAGCGGCGCCCUAGCAUUGGCCUGACGCUCAUGUGCGAAAGCGUGGGGAGCGAACGGGAUUAGAUACCCCGGUAGUCCACGCUGUAAACGAUGAGCACUAGGUGUAGGCGGUGUCAAAGCUGUCUGUGCCGAAGCAAACGCGAUAAGUGCUCCGCCUGGGGAGUACGGCCGCAAGGCUAAA